UCUAGAGGGAUCAUUGAAAUAUCUAUUUGCUAGAGAGAAUGGGAAGUACAGAAAGACUAGAGAGAGGCAGAAGGAAGCUGGCCUUCUAUCUCAGAGAUAUCCAACAAGAAAGAAGUGGUCCUGGGGAAUGCACAGCUGGCAGACAGCCAUCAUCUCCCACAACUCUCCUAACCAAGAAGCAGGUAAGGAAGGAAGAGGAACAGCUGACCACACAGCUGCAGCUAAUGACUACUGAGAGAAAUGAGCAGUGAGAUUGCCUGAUCUUCAUCACUGAAAGAUCCUUGGACUAUAGACCCUACCAUAUCCCUAAUCCUUUCCAUGAGAAAGUCAAGUUGGGGCAUCAGCAGGUCAUGAUGGACUUGCAGAGGUUAGAGCAUGAGGUCUCAGAGAACCUCAAG
rnacentral:lncRNA from 1 species